UUUUUUUUUUUUUUUGUCAACUGUUUCAAAUACUGCCAAAUCGUGGUUUCUUGUUUGAGCUUGUUGAGUGUGUAACUGAGUUGCCUUUUUGGUAUGAAGACAGUUUUCACCAACAUGGCAACAAGAGGAAGUCUAAAAUUCUCCAUGCUGCCUCCCACCCAAUCUGUGAGCUGGCAAAACCAGAAUAGAUACAGUCACCAUGAAGUGGGCAUCAUCAUCCACUAACUCUCUCCUCUCCGCUCCCAGUGCACACCACAUGAGGCAGAGGUUCUUGAGCCCACUUGACGGAUGAGGAAACUAAGGCUCAGAAAGGUGAGGUCUUCUGCCUGAGGUCACAGUCACAGGCAGAGCAAGGAUGUCAAUCCACGUCUGUUGGACAUCAAAAGGUGGUGGUUCACCUGACCACUACAGCACUUUCUAGAUCCCAUACCUUCAUAGUUUCCUGAAGCAAAGUCCCCUUAAGAACCAAGAAGUCUGCCAUCAUUUGUGAUCAUCCUGCGGCUUUUCAUUCCCUGCUUAGUCGGAUCCAUAUCCGCCAGCUGUUUGAAGGUUUGGCCGCUUUAGGGGGCAUCUUGCUUGCUUUUCCAUCCCUUUUUUCGGGGUCCUUUGAGACAAGUUGCAAUAUGGACUUGGGUUCACGUUGUGGUCUCAACUUGAUAGCUGUGUGGCUUCUGAGCCUCAGUUUUCUCAUCUGUACCUGGGGGGUGAUGGUGCCCACUUCCUUGGGGGAGGGACCACGUGACACCAGGGCUGGCUUGCCAUCACUGUUAGAAGCCUGCCUCCCUGCUCCAUGGUGUCCAUGUCACCCUGAUUGGGAGUGUGCCGAGGUCACAUGUGGAGGGAUUUCACCAAAAACUUGUUUUUCUGCAUGUGGGUUUAGUCACUCUUGUGACUCAAGGGGGCCCCCUCCCUUGGAUCCAGCCUUUUGGGUUCGUCAGAUGACAUGGGGCGAUGGGUUGAACUGAAGCCUGAGUUAUCUACAGGAACAGGGCAGAUUUAAUGCCAUGAUGGCAGGGGACCUGAACCCACCAGAAACUGCCAGUGCCUCCCCCCUCCUGUUCUCAAAACACAUCCACCCCACCACUCUGGAAGAGUGUGGAGGCACCUAUUGGCAUAGGCCUAGACUCUCAUCCCAUUUGGUACCCUCCUCUUAGAACCUGGCCCAGCCACCCUGGAGGGAAAGCAUGAGAAGGGAAGUUGGACAGUCCUGAGCUCUGCUGUGUGACCUUAGGCUGCUCAGUGUCUCUCUCUGAGCUCCAGCUUCUGUAAUCUGCAAGCUGUAAAUACUGCUGCUUCCCCCUAGGACCGAAUUUCUCACCUCAACCCUGUUGCCACGUUGAGCCAGAUCAUUCUUGUUGCCAAGGGCUGUCCUGAGCACUGUAGAAUGUUUAGAAUCCUCUCUGGCUUCUAUCCACUAGGUGCCAGUGGCAUCCCCCUCCUGAAUUGUGACAACCAAAAAUGUCCCAGGACAUGUCUCCCAUGGUUCCCCCUAACCCCCUGCCCCAACCAUUGUGUUAGAAUAUACGUAUCAGUUAUGGAGAGUUCCGUUAGCCAUGCCCUGUAAUUUUCCACCCCCUCCUCCCCAUUUGCAGCUACCUUGCCUACCACCUGUUCAUCCCUCAGUUGCUUUGGAAGGAACUACAGGUCACAGGGACUGUAGAUGUCAUAGAGAAACCGCAUCUGAGCUCGGGGCUGGGCCCCCUGUUCCACCUGAAAAGGCAGAUCUCCAUGAUCAGGGUGACAUCCUGUCUCUGCCCAGCCCCAGCCUCCUUCGCUUGUGGGCACAGACAUCAUCAGUGGGCCCAAGGGCAGAGCCACAGACAAGCAACGCAGCUGAUAUGACUCGGGUGGUCUGGAAUGAUCGCACGUUGAGAAGCAUCCUCUAAAUGGACUAGCCCGGGAUGCACCCCCUGAGAUUUAAAGCAGUUUUCCUGGAUGAUUUAUAUAUUCGGAUAUUCAGCGGUGUGGUAAUUAAAGCGAUGUCGAAAAUAGCCUAGAUGUUUGUCAUUGGAAAUGUGAUUAGAUGAAUGAUAGAUGGCCUUCGGUGGACUAUUAAGGGUUCUUUAAACAUGGUUUGUUCAAAGAAUUUUUAACGAGAUGGGGAAAUGUUCACCAUAUAAUGCAAGUGAAAAAGACAAAUUGUGUAUACAAUGUGAUCUUCAUUUCUUGAGUACUUCCGAAGAGAGUCUGGGGAAGAAAUAUGCCCAAAACAGCAUUUCUGGUGGUGGAAACACGGACAGUUUUAAGACCUCAGACUUUACUGUCAGGGCUUGUUCCCAGCUGGAUUGCACAAGUGACUUGACCUCCUGAGGCCUUACUUCCUCCACUACAGAAUGGAAACAGCGAUACAAUGCAGCCUCAUAGGAGGUACAUCUAGGCUGUUAGUCGUUGUGAAGAAUUAUAUUGUUUUAUAUUGCAUUAUAUUUUUGUGUGUUAUCGCAUGUUUCCCUGGAGGGGAGAGGACAGUGUAGCAUGGCAGAGGCGGGAAGGAGAGAGGGAGAAGGAGGGGACCCUGUUCCCUUGCUCCCCCUUUUCCUGUCUCAUGGACUUGUGUAUGAACCAUGAGAAGCUGGCAGAAAAUUCCACACAGGAGCUCGAAUUGAGGCUGGGAGGAAUACUCUCUGCCAGAUGCGCCCAGCAGGAUAUGGGGACAGGGGUGGCCACGGAUACUCACAGAACUUGACCCUUAGGAAUCACUACGGUUUUUGCAGGAAAAAGGGUUCCUUGUCUGUACAAAGCUUGGAACCCACUUCUGUAGCCCCCCCCCCCCUUUAUCUGGUGCAAGAAUUCCUCUCUCCUUAUGACACCUCUACUAGGUGGCUUCCCCAGGGUCUGAGAGCUCGGUCCUUCCACAUUCUCAUCUAGUUGUUUUCUCCUCCAUGCCCCCAAGCCCAGUGGGACAAGAUGAGGCCAGACUUAGGGGUAGGGGGCAGUUGUUUAGGGAGUAUUCUAGAUUAGUUGGCCUCUUUCUGCCUGUCACCCAACCAGGGCACCCAGCUUUGAUUCUGAGGCUCUCAAUGGACAAGCACCAUUGCAGUGCCCAUAUAUUGGGUCCAGUCAUCCAUUGACGUGUCUUCUCUCCCACGGGGCCUGAGUCCCUCAUAGUCCAAGGCCUUACUCAGGACAGGAGCCACGUGUAUUCCUUGAAGCCAUAACUGCUUGGGCUCUCUCAGUCCCAAGGUCCCAUGAUUCUAGGGCGAUGGCCGUUGACAUUGUUCAGCUGAGACAAUCAGAUUCGUCCUGACGACCUCCUUUUGCCACCAGACCAAGCCUUUUGUCAUAGCUGUUAAGGCACAGGCUUUGGAGGCAGCCAGACCUGGAUGCAAAUCCCGGCUGUGUCAUUUUCUAGUUGUGCAAUCUUGGGUGGGUUACUUAACCUCUUAGAACUUCAGUAUCUUCUUCAUUUAUAAAUGGAGGAGUCAUCCCAGUACAUGACACAUAGUAAACACUCAAGAGAAAAGUAACUGUAAUUCUUAGUCUAUCUGGAAACAAGGAAUCCUCUAACCCUCUGGGAUGCUGUUAGGUUGAACCCUAUGAAAUUGUCCAUUUUUUACCCAAAUGGCAGUUUCACUGGGUUGAACCUAAUGAUAUGAAUUUGAUUUGGGCCUAAGGAACUCACUCUGCUUGCGUGGAAGGGGAUUGGUGUUCAGUACUAUACCAGACAUGUUGCAGACAUUAUCGCAUCAUAUGCAUUACAACAACCCUGAGAGACAGGAAAUACUUUUAUUAGCAUCUCCGUUUUACAGACAGGGAAACUAAGGCUCCUCAGUAGCUUGCUUGAGGAAGUGUUUUUAGCAGGAUCGGAACCCACGUCUGUCCAACUCAGAGUCUGUGUGGUUGGCAUUGUUGCUGUCUUGAGGCUGGGCUGCCUGUCCUGUGUGGUGUCGCCUCACCUCGUUGCUGGAAGAGCUCCCAGCAUUCUCUUGGGCCCCCUGGCCCAGCAGCUGGCAGAUGUGGACCAGAGGCUCCCUGAGAUGUCACCUGGGGAACCCCACAUUUCUGACCCUCAGUUAGACUGUCUCUACUUCCACAAUUUUCUGCUGCAGUGCCUUUGGCCUUGGUUGGAGGACUGGAGGGUGAUAAGGACUUGUGUCAGUUAUCCUUCCGAACUUUGGGAGUGUUCUUCCCAAGCCCUCCUGUUCACCUGAUUCAACACCUAGAUCCUGGUGUCUAGACUCUGGAUCCAGGCACAGUGUCCCCUCGUCCAGCCCUUGUCCACAGCCCCACUGAGGCAGAGCCAGAGUGGCCACUAGAGGCAGGAGGCCAGACAGGGGGCCCUUGGCCGAAACCCAGACUGGUGACUGUGUUGGCCUGAACUAAAUAAGGCCAUCGGCUUUUCCAGACUCAGUUACCCCAUCUAUAAAAUGGGGAAGACAAUAGGUCCUGCCCCAUAGGGGAAUAAGGACUAACUGGCCUGAGCAUGGCCAGUAGUAAGGAAGUGCUCCUUAAGUGUGAAUCUGUGUGGUUGUUUUGCUGUUUUUCAUUAAGAGGGAACCCCUGAGAGACUCUAAGGAGGAAGGAAAUCCAGUCAGAUGCUGUGUUUUAGAAAUAUCCCUGUUGAGGUGAGCAGAGGGGCAGGAGGCCCUGGAGGGAGCAGCCGCUGCAUCCAAAAUGAGGUGGCCCAGGCCUGAGCUGAGGCUGCGUGGUGGAGGAAAUAGCCAGCGAGGAGGCAGCAUGAGCCAGCGGGGCGGGGAGGACCCAGGAUGAGAGCUGGCUGCCAGAUUCUUUGCUCUGUCUUCUCUCCUACAUCUUUCCAGCCACCCUGGCCCCCAUCUCCUCCUCCACGGAACUCCCUCCCAGCUUGGAGGUCCCAAGUCCAUGUGACCUUGUUUUAGAAGGUGCCAGACUUCUGGGGUCUUCUGAUUUCUGCAGGAUCAAGAAUAGCCAGGCACCUGCACACAUUUCAUUGCCUUUGUUACCCGCUAACUGUAGGUUGGGGGAGAAGUAACAACUAUUCUUUAUUGAGUAGCUGCCGUGUGCCUGGUGCUGUGCUUAGAGCUUUGCAUGCGUUGAAUCAGCUGAUCUUUACUGUCAUCCCAUGAGGGAGGCACCACUAUUACCCCCAUUUUACAGAUGGAGAAGCAGGCUGAGAUAGGACUUGCCCAGGCCCAUGCAGCUAGGAAGUCACAGGGUUUGAACCCAGGCUUCGGGCGGGUCUGGCGGGGGUCACACAAUGGAGUUUUCAAACGCACCCCAAAUGUACCGUGCAGCCAGGUUUGCGAACCUGUCGGGGACAGUAGGUAUGUGGUUGGGGCCGUGCACUGGUUUAUGAGCCCAUGUAAUCUGUACAUUAGAGAGCGCCUACUGCUGACAGGCACUCUUUGACUUCGCAUAUGUGGCCUCAUUUACAUUUCAAAACAGAGACUUGUGGCCCAAAGUCACCUGGCUGGUAAGUGGUAAAGCAGGAUUCGAGGUCGGCUCUGAUGUCUUGGGAGCCAGGGGAAAUGAACAUGCUCGCUUAUGGUCCCUGUGACUCCUUUUUACCUGGUCUUCUUGGUUAGGAAUGGGCAUUCUGAAGUGAAAUAAAUCUGGGUUCACAUUUCUGUCAUCCUCCUCCACCAGCUGCAUGGCUUUGGGGCCGUGACCUAACCUCUCUGAAUGUUGGUUUUCUCUGCUGUGAAAUGGGUGGAUAGUAAAUUUCACUCCAUAGGGUUUCCUGACAGCAGAGUGCUGGGGACUUAGUAAGUGGUCAUUAGGUGUUGGUCCUCCUUUGGAAAACUCCUACUGAUUCCUCGAGAUCCAGAGCAGUUGGUUUUUCGGUUUUUGUGGGGGUUUUUUGUUUGUUUGUUUUUCAUCUGGAAAGCCUCUCUGAAGUUCUCCCUGCAAAAUUAGCCCUCAUCCCCUCUGUGCCCCCACAGAGUCUAUAGAGUGCUUCUAGGGAGCCUGUGGCCUGUGAUGUCGUCUCUCUUGAGUACCCACUGUGUGCCAGGCACUGUGCCGGACCCUUUAGGUAAGAACUGAGACCCAUCUGACCUUGCCUGCCUGACCACGCAUCCUGGGGUUUUCCUACCAUGUCACGCUGCUGGGGUUUAGAUCUUGGCUGUGUCGCAUGGUGGCUGUGUGACCUUGGGUAAGCUACUUGCCCUUUCCGAGUCUCCAGAUCCCACGACAUAACAUAAACGAAGUACUUGGCAUAGCCCCCGAUCAGCCCAAUAAAUGUGGCCCGUUUUGAUUCUUUUUCAUUACUUGGGCAGCUUUAUCCCUACUGUCUGUGGGGAUAUCCCUACAUACUAUCCCUACAUACAGAUGUGUUGCACAUAGUGGGUGCUCACGUGGGCUUCCCAGUUCUGUCCCGUCAGCCCUGUUAACACAGGACAGGUCCCAACUUGAAAUCUCUCAGCUCUGUUUCCUGCAAGGCCCCGGGCUCCUCUGAGGCCUGGCAGCCUUAGAGAUCCCCACAAGCCCUAAGUGCCUGCCCUGGAGGCUUUCCUAGAAAGCCAGCCUUCAGGUUGGUUUCAGCAAGCCUGGGCUCCAGCUGCCAGCACCUCUGCUUGCCAUUGGAAAGUUCCCCAUGCUGCUCUGGGCCAGAUGUGUGUGAGGACGUGUGUUGGCAGCCAGAGGCCCAGGCUGGAGCUGCACACCCGGCCCAGCGAGUGUUUCCAUCAGUUCCAUGGCUCUGUAUAGAAGAAGGGAGGUAGCCUGGCCAGCCUGGAAGUGGUUCCUGCUGCCCGCCAUCUGGAGAAGACUCUGGCAGUGAGGGAAAGACAGGCUCCAAGGGUGGGCAGCUCCGUGUGCAUGCACACAAGGAGGAGACAGUUGAUUGGGUUUCGCAGCAUGACCUUCCUGACUGUUCCUUUUAACAUAGCUUUACCUCGAAAAGAUUUGAGUUGGCCCCAGUGGAGACGGACUGUCUGAGCCUCCAGCGCCUCAUCUCUAUAAUGGGGUUAGCAGUGAUAGUGCUAGAAGCUACCUAGAGUCGGGCCGUGUGGCAGGCACCUUGCGUGCAUUAGCUCCUGUAAUCCUUAGCCAACCCUAAAAAGUAGGUACUGUUCUCUCCAUUUUAUAGAUGAGAAAAUGGAGGCUGGAGCCAUGCAUGAACUUGCAAAGUCACACAGCAGCUUCCAGCUAUAGAGCCGAGAUUCAUACCCGGUACUCUAAGGCCAGUGCCUGCCUGUUUUUUUAAUGACAUUAAGAAGUGAUUGAUGUGUGUGUGUGUGUGUGUGUGUGUGUGUGUGUGUGUGUGUGUGAUUGUUUUGUUUAGUUUUUAGUUGUGUGUGGUAAAACUCUCUCUUUUGGUAUAGCAUCCUGAGUUUUUAUGCACGUGCAGGUUCUCAUAACCACCACCACAGACAGGAUACGGAACAAUUCCAUCAUCCCCGCCAAAGAAUUCCCUCAGGCUGGCCUGGUGGGAUGGGAAUUUGCUCCUGUGGUGUGCUCUUUUUCUCCAUCGCCUGUUCCGAGAAGCCUGGGGGUGAGAGGUGGACUUCUCUUCCCGGGUUGGGCCCCAUGCCUGCAUUCUCCUCUGUCACAAAGCUGGUUCUGUUUCUAGUUGAGCUGUCCAUUCAGCCAUUUCAAGAGCAUUGUCACUCUCCAGACACAGAGAGCCUUGAGUGAGGUCACCUUGAUUUAUGACUGCGUGGCCCUCUCUUGGCUUUUUGUCACUUUGCCUGCCUGCCUGCCUGUCUGUCCAUCCGUCUGCCUUUCACCAGAUGUUUCCCAAGGGCAUAAUGUCACCCAGAUGGAUUUGUGUGGCAAAGCCACGGUGCAUCAGAUGGAUUUGGCCCCUGCCCCCUCAAGGCUCCUGGGGGAGAAGGGGUGACAGUCGUGCAAACAGAACGGCACACCCAGAGGAAUGUAUACUGAGAGAGGGCAGUCCCAGUGGCUGCGGGAACCCACAGAAUGGGGCCAGACCCAGACGUGGGGUCUUCAAAGGCUUCCUGAGCUGACCCCUGAGAAGUAAAGAGGCACUAGACAGGCAAAGGGAGAGGUGUUCCUGCCAAAGGCCAUAGCAUGUGCAGGGCCAGGAGGCAAGGGAGAGCCUUGCUGGGAGGAAGCCCCUAAAACCCCCUAGUGUGCUGCUGUUGUCUUCCUUGACAAGGCUGAAAGCUCCAGAAGGGCGGGGGCCUCUGUCUCCUCCAUAGCGAGAGCUCCAGCUCUUGGAAGGGAGCCUGGUACACAGUGGGCACUCUGUCCGUAUUGGCUGAAUGCAUGAGCGAAUGAAUGAACUGAAGUGUUUGAAGCAGAGGCGAGAGACACAAUUAGAUUUUCACUUUAGAGAGAGUGCCCCUUUGUCCCACCUCCCAGCCUCGUGCUCCUCUGCCCAUGGGUGGUCAGAGACCCUCAGCUCCACUGCACAUUCACUGCGUACCCUAUGGACGAGGAGCGGUCGGAACACAGCCCUGAACCAGAGCAUCUUAUCUGCAGCUAACGCCACAAGCACUUGGAUUUGGGCCCCAUUCCAAGCAUUCACUUAAUUGAAAAGAUUGG